rnacentral:misc_RNA from 1 species
GAUGAAGAACGCAGCGAAAUGCGAUAAGUAGUGUGAAUUGCAGAAUUCAGUGAAUCAUCGAAUCUUUGAACGCACAUUGCGCCCCUUGGUAUUCCAUGGGGCAUGCCUGUUCGAGCGUCAUUUGUACCUUCAAGCUUUGCUUGGUGUUGGGUGUUUGUCUCGCCUUUGCGUGUAGACUCGCCUUAAAAUAAUUGGCAGCCGGCGUAUUGAUUUCGGAGCGCAGUACAUCUCGCGCUUCGCACUCAUAACGACAGCGUCCAAAAGUACAUUUUACACUCUUGACCUCGGAUCAGGUAGGGAUACCCGCUGAACUUAAGCAUAUCAAUAAGCGGAGGA